rnacentral:rRNA from 1 species
UUUUGGACAAUGGGGGCAACCCUGAUCCAGCAAUGCCGCGUGAGUGAAGAAGGCCUUCGGGUUGUAAAGCUCUUUUGUCAGGGAAGAAACGGUGGGGGCUAAUAUCCUCUGCUAAUGACGGUACCUGAAGAAUAAGCACCGGCUAACUACGUGCCAGCAGCCGCGGUAAUACGUAGGGUGCAAGCGUUAAUCGGAAUUACUGGGCGUAAAGCGUGCGCAGGCGGUUGUGCAAGACAGAUGUGAAAUCCCCGGGCUCAACCUGGGAAUUGCAUUUGUGACUGCACGGCUAGAGUGUGUCAGAGGGGGGUAGAAUUCCACGUGUAGCAGUGAAAUGCGUAGAUAUGUGGAGGAAUACCGAUGGCGAAGGCAGCCCCCUGGGAUAACACUGACGCUCAUGCACGAAA